rnacentral:rRNA from 1 species
UACAUGGGGUGCAAACGUUGCUCGGAAUUAUUGGGCGUAAAGCGCACGUAGGCGGUUUGUUAAGUCGGAUGUGAAAUCCCUCGGCUCAACUGAGGAAGUGCAUCCGAAAUUGGCAGGCUUGAGUACUAAAGAGGGUCGCGGAAUUCCCGGUGUAGAGGUGAAAUUCGUAGAUAUCGGGAGGAACACCGGUGGCGAAGGCGGCGACCUGGGUAGAUACUGACGCUGAGGUGCGAAAGCGUGGGGAUCAAACAGGG